rnacentral:rRNA from 1 species
CCAACAGGGAUUGCCUUAGUAACGGCGAGUGAAGCGGCAACAGCUCAAAUUUGAAAUCUGGCUCUUUCAGGGCCCGAGUUGUAAUUUGCAGAAGAUGUUUCGGGUGCGGCGCCGGUUUAAGUCCCUUGGAACAGGGUAUCAUGGAGGGUGAGAAUCCCGUAUGUAACUGGCGACCAACCCCAUGUGAAACUCCUUCGACGAGUCGAGUUGUUUGGGAAUGCAGCUCAAAAUGGGUGGUAAAUUUCAUCUAAAGCUAAAUACCGGCCAGAGACCGAUAGCGCACAAGUAGAGUGAUCGAAAGAUGAAAAGCACUUUGGAAAGAGAGUUAAAAAGUACGUGAAAUUGUUGAAAGGGAAGCGCUCGCAACCAGACCUGCCCGCGGACGAUCAGCGGUGGUUCUCCGCCGUGCACUCGUUUGUGAUCAGGCCAGCAUUGGUUUCGGCGGUCGGAUAAAGAUCCUUGGAAUGUAGCUCCUUUCGGGGAGUGUUAUAGCCUUGGAUGGAAUACGGCCAGCCGGGACCGAGGACCGCGCUUCGGCUAGGAUGCUGGCGUAAUGGUUGUGAGCGACCCGUCUUGAAACA